rnacentral:lncRNA from 1 species
GAGAUAUAGGCUCAUGCUUGAUUCCAUGGAACUAUGAUCAAGUAAUAAUGUGUGAAUGCCAAUGCUAACUAAAGAAGAGCAACAUGAAUGGUCCAUACUGCUGUUCUGAUCAAGCAACCCUUGUCUGGGAUACGAGAAUUUCAAGACUGAAGCGGAGACGGAGACGGAGACGCAACACGGCCAAAGGACAGGCCGUUGGACAUCCGACGCCGGUCAAUGUCACUGUUACCCUAACCCUGCAUAACCCUAUCCUCAGGUCUUGGAUGGUGUCAGAUAAUCCGGAUAUCCAGAGGCAGUCAAAUGAGGCAGUCAAUCAGAAGCUCUAC